AAGAAAAGCCUUCUUUUUCUUUUUCCUCCUCUCUCCUCUCUUCAUGGAUGGGUAAUUGUGCCCCCAUAUGACAGAUGUAUCCCUCAAACUGGGAAAAGUUUAAUUUCCUCAAACCUUAAACUGUUUGGCUUAAAAAUAAACCAGGAAGAAAUUACAGAUCAAACGGGGCAAAUCUCCUGAGGAGGGCCAACUUUUACAGUAUGCAAAAACUCUUUAUUUGCUCCCCCUUUAUGUGACUCCAUGGUCAAAAGGGCUCCAUAACUCAGGGGAAGGGAACCAAGAAGCCUGACUUGCCAGAAAAAGAGUAAAAGUUUUUACCAGUCAGGCUUCUAGCCUCUCUCUCUCUGUGCAGACUGGUUGAAUUAAUGAUAAAAAUCACUGUUUAUAUCCUCUGCAAAGUUUUGAUUAAUGGAAAAAAAGGAUUAAUGAGGCGAGUCUUAAGCUGUAGCCAAUCGGGUAUGCUUUGUGUGUUUUUCAGUAUGGUUCUGUCAUAAGGAGGAGUACCUUGGGAUAAAAUGUGGGUUACUGCUCAUGCCAGCCCACCAAACUCGUCAGUAACAAACUUUGUUGCAGGUCUCUGAAGAAUAAAAAACAACUGAAUGAGGUCUCCAUGUUGUUUUACAUCCUUGGGAACUUGACCUUGUAACCACGUAGCAGUACUUUCUUUUGGUCUCUGCCAUUUUACAGUGGUGACCUGAGUUCAGUCCUGGCUUAAGGAAUGAGUACUUUCUGCUACAUCUGCUUAUUACACCUUAGAAACUGCAUGAUUUCCUAUCCCUGCUUCUUGAAGGGUUCCACCCAGAGGCCAGUAAUCCAAUUAAGAAACCAGCAGAUGAAAAAUCUUACAACUACUGUAUUAUCUUCUGUCUACCUGUGUAGUUAUAUAUGUGUAUAUAUGUGAUGUUUAUAUUAAAAAAGAGCUCUAAUUAAUUGGCUAGAGAAAAGUAAGUGCUUAGAUCAAAUCUUUUUUGAAGAAAAAAUUGCCUUUUAGUUCAUGCAACAUUUAUCUUUGAGAAAUAAAAACAGUUUUAAAGAUUACUGGCAAAAUACAAAUGUCUUCUAAUGUAAACAUGUAGUCUAAAUUGUGUUCAGAUAUUAGGUUUGCUAAAUGCUUUAAGAUCAUGAAUUGCUUCUUUGGCUUUUGAAAAUUGUUUAAGGCCAGGUACAGCGGCUCAUGCCUGUAAUUCCAGCACUUUGGGAGGCCAAGGCAGGUGGAUCAUGAGGUCAAGAGAUCAAGACCAUCCUGGUCAACAUGGUGAAAGCUUGUCUCUACUAAAAAUACAAAAAAUUAGCUGGGCGUGGUGGCGUGUGCCUGUAAUCCCACCUACUCAGGAGGCUGAGGCAGGAGAAUUGCUUGAACCCAGGAGGCGGAGGUUGCAGUGAGCCGAGAUCGCGCCAUUGCACUCCAGCCUGGGUAACAAGAGUGAAACUCUGUCUCAAAAAAAAAAAAAAACUUACCAGAUUUUACAUUAAAAUUAAAAAUUGUUAACAGUUACCAUUAUAACAUGUAAUUGAGACAACUGAAAAUAGAUUCACAUGCAAGGUGUGUAAGGGAAAUAAAAUGUUUUUAGUAAGAUUAUAAAAAGGCAUUGGAAUGUAAAUUUUUGCUUAGUUUAGAGGGUUAAAAGACUGUUUUUCAUUAAAUAAGAUAAAGCUAAAGGUUUAAACAAGUUGUGGGAGGUUUGUAAAAAUUAAUAUUACAGGUGGGGGAGGGGAAUAAAAAAAGAAAAAAGAAAAAAUUAAUAUUACAAAAGAAAUUAUGUGUGUGAGUAUAUUGACUAAAUUCAAAAGAGUAUUAUAUGGUUUUUCCAUAAAUUGAGCAUUGGUAUAAAAACACAACAAGGUUUUCUUAAGGCACUGAUAUGCUCUUUAACAAAAAUUUGUACAGGGUUAUAAGAGGUUUAUAAGAAUCUGAUGUCACAGUCAAACUGGUUAAGAUUUGGUGGAAUUAUCUAUGAGGACUCAUUUUAAAAAACUGUGAUUUGUUGACAUUAAUAGUAGACUAAUGCAAGGGUGAAAUUUGACUUUCUCUCCCUUGAACAAGAUUUCAUGUAAUGGCAAAAAAUAAUGAAAGAUUUUUGUUUGCCUUGUGAAUUAACUACCAAAAAAGAAGAAGAAGAAGAAGAAGGAGGAGGAGGAGGAGGAGGAGGAGGAGGAGGAGGAGGAGGAGGGGGAGACAGGAGAGAGAUUGUUUGGAAAGCUAAGUCUUCCCUCUUAAUGAGUAAAGAUUUUUGCUUUUUAUAAAUUUUUGACUCAUCAUUUUAGCUAAAUAAAAUUACUUAUGUUAAUCUGGAAUUCUGUUUCAUAAUAUCAAGUGUUUUAAACCUCUAAUAUAUUUAACAUGCUUCCCAAAAUGAAAUUUUAGCUUCACAAAUUGUCUUUUUUGACCUCUAUCUUUUGAAUGCUACAGAGGGCCCCUGGAGCAUCCAAAUGAAAGGUAAACAGGAUUAUUUGACAUGCUUAGUUACAUG
ensembl:lncRNA